AAACCAGCACCUCAAGUGGUCAGGAGGAUUAUUGGGCCUAAAGCAUCCGUAGCCUGCUCUGUAAGUUUCCGGUUAAAUUCAUUAGCUCAACUAAUGGCCUGCCGGAAAUACUGCAGAACUAGGAAGUGGGAGAGGUAGACGGUACUCGGUAGGAAGGGGUAAAAUCCUUUGAUCUAUUGAUGACCACCUGUGGCGAAGGCGGUCUACCAGAACACGUUCGACGGUGAGGGAUGAAAGCUGGGGGAGCAAACCGGAUUAGAAACCCGAGUAGUCC
rnacentral:rRNA from 1 species